rnacentral:lncRNA from 1 species
UGAGCUAACAUGUUGAUAAUCAAAGCGUACAUAAUCUGUACAGGAAUAGAAUAAUUCUGAAACUUCUUACUCAUGUCCAUUGCAUAAAGGAAAUGCAAAGGUAAGAUACUUGCCUGAUUCGCUGAUUACAAAUCUCAACUUAGGUUUUAUCUCUUUAUCACAACCUAUCAAUAAUCAGAUCAUUCGUUCGAUUAGAACAAUAUAUCAUAACACAUAGUACUGUCUAUUACAGUCAGCACAUAGUCUAAUCACGUCAUCACAUAAUCGCAGUGAUCAUACUUUUAGUUCAUAUUCUAUACUUGAAAUAUUUUUAUACAUUUUUCAAAUAUCUCAUCCAUGCUCUUACAGAAGUCUUUUCUUUCUAUUAUAGGGUCUGACAUUUGUCGGCGUACCGACAGCUUUAUCGGGUAAAUACUGAGUCUAAGACUCUUAUCCUAUACCUCAACAUCUGUAAAUAUCAAACAUUUUAUUUUUAAUCAUUUUCGAAUUUUCCAGAAAUUGAAAAAUUUAAAAUAAUUCAAAUCUGUCACUACCGGGCCUAUAGUGAUAUAACUGUUACUAUAGGUGUUCCUCAAAACUUCAUAACUUCAUAAUCGGUUCUCAAGUCAGCUAGUUUGGCCGGCUAUAACUUUCAAACAUCGGAAUCAUAAUUAAAUGAUUUAAACAUUAAACAAUUCCAUUAUCAUUAAUAAUUAAUUUAUAUUAAACUAUUAAUGAAACCAUUGCCAAAAUAUAAAAGUUAUUUAUAAUAACUCAAACUAUUUUUAAAACAUUUAUAUUACCCUUAAAUGAUUUUUAAAACAAUUAAAAUCAUUUUUAAAUAAUCACCAUUAAUAUAUAAAUAUUAAUGUACUAUUCAUCCAAAUAUUAAAAGUCAUUAAUUAUAACUUAAAAUAUUUUUAAAUCCUUAAUAUCCUCUUUAAAUGAUUUUUAAAUAAAUAAAACCAUUUUUAAACUAUUUAUUUAAUAAUAAUUAUUAAAUAAACUAAAUAUCAUUAAUAUUAUCUUAAUAUCAUUAAUAUUAAAUUAUUAAUGAAAUUAUCCUUUAAAUAUUAAAAGUUAUAUUUUAUAACUUAAAAUAUUUUUAAAUACCUUAAUUUCAUUUAAAAUGAUUUUUAUAAUAUUAAAAUCAUUUUUAAACUAAAUUAUUUAAUAUAAUCAUUAAAUAACUUUAAUAUCAUUAAUAUAUAAUUAAUUAAUGAAAUUCAUCACAAAAUAUUAAAAGUCAUGGAAAAUAACUUAAAAUAUUUUCUUAUACCAUAAAAUAAUUUUUCAUGAUUUUUCAUGAAUUAAAACUAUUUUUAAAUCAUUUAUUUAAUAUUAUAAUUAAAUAAAUAAAUACCUUUUAUAUUCCAAAAAUAUUAAAUAUUUAUGAAAUAUACUCAAAAUAAUUAAAAACUAUUUUUUGGACUUUAAAAUAAUUUUUUCAGAAUUUAUUUGGUAUUUUUAAUAAUUAAAAUCUAUUUUUUCUAAUUUUUAAAAUAAUUUCCGGAAAAUAAUAAUAAUAACCGUCGCUAAAGGCCCCUAUAGCGACAGAACCGUCGCUAUAGGUGUUCUUGAGCCUGCCCAGAAAUUCUAAGGCAGAACCGAGUAGCCUACUUUGACCGUGUGUAGUUUUGUGUGUGUUGCGAUUCUGACAAUGUUCUUGGUCAGAUCUUGUAGAGGAAAUACAAGACUACAAGAUCCAACAAACAUCAUGGCUAUCCAACAUCAGAUCUGGGAGAAAAUGGCCAUCAAAGUAGCUGUCAGAGCUGUUCUUCGUGAAGAACAGUUCGAGAUGGCUACUUUGAACCUCUAUAUCUUGAUGAUCGUGUAACGUUUAUGUGAUCUAUCAAUUCCAGUGUGUAGAAAAUAUGUAAGACUACAACUUUAACACUUAACAUCAUCAUAACAACAACAGAUCUAACGAGAAAUGGCCGGUUAAAGUGCAACACGGAAACUGUUCAUGAAAAAUCUGGUUUCGCUAGUUUGGCAGAUUUGGUCAAUGAGUUUUGACCGCUUAUAUCUCUCAAUCUAAAACUGAUCUUGACUUAAUUCUUUUUGCAUCUUAAAGACCACAUAUCAGGCUACAUGUUACAAGUUUUAAACAUCAAAAACACUAAACACACACGAAUCUAUGGGGUCUGACAUUUGCUUGUCAGACCAUAUUUUCGGUUUUUCCAAAGUUUGAAAAACUUUGAUUUUGAGCACUUUGAUGUUAUGAGUCAUGAAUUUAACAACUCAAAACAUUAAUAGACUCCUUAUUACACAAAUUUAAACAAUCAAUUGCAUCAAUUAACAUCGAAUCGAAGGAUUUCUAGAAUUUAAGGUUUCCUACCUUUUUGAGCUUCGAUUCUUGAAUUUCUGACUUUGAUUCGUUGUUGUGAUGGCUGGGCUUUGAUUAUAGACUGAUCUAGCAAGCUAAUUUCGUAGCUUUUAGAGAGNNNNN